UACGGGGGGGGCAAGCGUUGUUCGGAAUUACUGGGCGGAAAGCGUGCGCAGGCGGCUUCGCAAGUCAGACGUGAAAUCCCCGGGCUUAACCUGGGAAUGGCGUUUGAAACUACGGAGCUGGAGUGUGGCAGAGGGAGGUAGAAUUCCACGUGUAGCGGUGAAAUGCGUAGAUAUGUGGAGGAAUACCGAUGGCGAAGGCAGCCUCCUGGGCCAACACUGACGCUCAUGCACGAAAGCGUGGGGAGCAAACAGG
rnacentral:rRNA from 1 species